GCAAAUCUUUAUUUUUCAAAGAUUCCUCUUCCUCCUCCUCCUUUCCAAAUGUUGCGUUUCAUCUUUUCCAAAGACCUCAAAAGCUACUAGAUUAUCAUUAAAAAAUAAACACAUUUUCAAAGGCCAUUAGCCCGAGGGGAGGUCCUGAGUCGUCCAAAGGUUCUCCAGCGGGCAAGCAAGAAAGACAGCACUCCUGCCCCGAUCCGUACACACUGGAGCAUCCAGACUGACUAAUGAACAGCAUUUUCAGUUAAUUGUACCUUUUAAAACUUUCUGCUGUUUACAUCACUGUGACACGUGUAUCCUGAGUACAACUCUUACUAUUAACCCUUUUGAGGCUGGCAGUGGUUUCAGUUUCUUCGUGCUCUUUCGCCUAGUACCCAGAAAAGUAAGUCAUUUUCUCUAAAUUUAUCAUCUUUUCUACUGUGUCAUUGACCUAUCUGAAUAUAUUCUGUUCUCUUAAUCUUUCAGUCUGAAUUAAAUAAAGAAUUCACAUUUGGAUCUUAUUUUAAGUACUCCUCGAAGUUUCAAUUCCCGUUGGAGAUUUUUUAAAGCCUGGAGCAGUGGAGGAGCUAAAAAGAGAAGAGAGGUCAGGUGAUUCAGAGCGCCAGUUCAAAUCAAUUCAAGAAAUAUUUAUUGAGCGUCUGAAUGUGCCAGAUACAAAAGAUGAAGAUCUUCUUUCAAGAAGCUCACAGUCUGAUGGGGAGAUGACAUGUGGGGGAAUUAGAACAAUAGUCCAGGGUUCUUUUUGAGGAAGAGUACCCCUG
rnacentral:lncRNA from 1 species